rnacentral:tRNA from 1 species
GGGGCCUUAGCUCAGCUGGGAGAGCAUCUGCCUUACAAGCAGAGGGUCGGCGGUUCGAGCCCGUCAUCCUCCACCA